rnacentral:tRNA from 1 species
ACCGGGGUAGCUUAAUAAAAGCUUUGAUUUUGUAAUUCAAGGAUGGCACUCGCCCCCUGGUU